ensembl:snoRNA
CCUUCGCUGAUGAGUAAACUCGUGACUUUCGUUCUUCUGAGAUCACUGAAGCAGCUAUUAUUUCUGAGAAGG